rnacentral:misc_RNA from 1 species
UGGACAAGGACAGAAACCCCAAGUGGGAUCCUUCUUCAUUAGACAUGUUAGAUGAUCAAAUGGUAGACCGAUAUUUUAAGAAGGUCGAUGGAUGGGAAGAUUUGAAACUUCCUUCAAGGCGUGGGUCGACAAUCACGUCGGUAUCUAAGCUUUGAAAAGAUGAUUCUUCGGCAAGCCAAAAAUAAAUAGAAUAAUUUAAUGUUGCUAAGGAAUCCUGGGUUUGGACUCUCCGCAAAUAUGCAGUCUUAGUCCCAAACAGCCUCUCUGGUGUAAAUAAGUUCCCAACAUUACUUAUCUUUGAUGAUUGUUGUUG